GAUGACGAGCGGCGGACGGGUGAGUAAUACUUAGGAAUCUACCUAGUAGUGGGGGAUAGCUCGGGGAAACUCGAAUUAAUACCGCAUACGUCCUACGGGAGAAAGGGGGCAACUUGUUGCUCUCGCUAUUAGAUGAGCCUAAGUCGGAUUAGCUAGAUGGUGGGGUAAAGGCCUACCAUGGCGACGAUCUGUAGCUGGUCUGAGAGGAUGAUCAGCCACACCGGGGCUGAGACACGGCCCGGACUCCUACGGGAGGCAGCAGUGGGGAAUAUUGGACAAUGGGGGAAACCCUGAUCCAGCCAUGCCGCGUGUGUGAAGAAGGCCUUUUGGUUGUAAAGCACUUUAAGCAGUGAAGAAGACUCUUCGGUUAAUACCCGGAGACGAUGACAUUAGCUGCAGAAUAAGCACCGGCUAACUCUGUGCCAGCAGCCGCGGUAAUACAGAGGGUGCAAGCGUUAAUCGGAAUUACUGGGCGUAAAGCGAGCGUAGGUGGCUUGAUAAGUCAGAUGUGAAAUCCCCGGGCUUAACCUGGGAACUGCAUCUGAAACUGUUAGGCUAGAGUAGGUGAGAGGGAAGUAGAAUUUCAGGUGUAGCGGUGAAAUGCGUAGAGAUCUGAAGGAAUACCGAUGGCGAAGGCAGCUUCCUGGCAUCAUACUGACACUGAGGCUCGAAAGCGUGGGUAGCAAACAGGAUUAGAUACCCUGGUAG
rnacentral:rRNA from 1 species